CUCUCAGCAGGCAGCGGCAAAGUACUCCAGACUUGCUGAGGAGGCUUCUCUGGCCCAAGCAGAGGCCGAAAAGGGCCGAGCAGAGGCCAAAGCUCAGGAAAAGUUGUGCCGAGAGCAACAUGAGGCAGUUCAACUGGAAAAUCUCAGCUUGAAAGAAGAAACACAGCUGCUGAAGAGAAAGUUAACAGAAAUGCAGCUCCUCUUAACACAAGUGGAAAAGAGUCACUUUGAAAGUCAGCUGAAACUAGAGAGAAUAACAAUGGAGAGAGAAGUUAUCAGUGAAGAAAAAAGAUAUUUGGAGCAUGAAAGAAAUGAGCUGAAACAGAAACUGAAAGGAACAAUAGAAGAGAAUUCUAAGUGUAAAGAAAAGUAAGAUUUUAAUUUAGAUCUACUGUAUUUUUCAAAAACUGGACCUCUCCUGUUCUGGAAAGUGACUGCUUAUUUCAUAAUUCCUAUUAUGUACCAUUGAGCCGCCUCUGACAUAUGGAGACCCUAUGAAUGAGAGAUCUUCAAAAUGUCCUGUCCUCAACAACCCUGUUCAGCUCUUGUAAACUCAAGGCUAGAUGGAUUGACACCUUUAGUGAAUUAAUCCAUCUAGUAUUUGUUUUUUCUCCACCCCCCUCCGCUGCCUUCAACUUUUCCUAGCAUUAUUGUUUUUUCAUGGUAAACAAUUCUGACUUAUGAUUACCCUUUCUAGGAUUUUCCAGAUACAGUCAACCCUUGACUUACAAACUUAAUCCGUUCCGGAAGGAAGUUUGUAAGUCGAAAAGUUUGUAAUUCGAAUCAGCAUUUCCCAUAGGAAUGCAUUGAAAACCAAUUAAUCCAUUCCGGCUGUCUUUUGGUUCUUAGGUCGCGGGGCGGUUUGUAACUCGAAUCAUUAAUUCCCAUAGGAACUAAUGCAGAGCUGGUUAAUCCGUUCCUACCACUAGGGGCAGAAUUUUUUCUUUUUUUCCUUUUAACCUAAGAUGACUUAGGUUUAAAAAAAGGAAAGAAAAGAGGGAGGGAAGGAGGGAACAGACACCUUUUCAACAGAACACCCUGAAAAGCACCUUUUCAGCCAAGACAAGCACCUUCUGGGAAAAACCAAGCACCUUUCAGAUAACAGAUCCCCUUGAAAAGCACCUUUUCAAUCAAGACAAGCCAAUACAAGCACCUUUUGGAGAAAAGGGGGGCAGCAAAGGAGGGAGGAAACACCUUUUAAAAAUCAAAAAAUAAAUUUUUUUUUAAAAGCCA
rnacentral:lncRNA from 1 species